rnacentral:tRNA from 1 species
CGGGGCGUAGCGCAGUUGGCUAGCGCACCUGCUUUGGGAGCAGGGGGUCGCCAGUUCGAGUCUGGCCGCCCCGACCA